AAUUUCACACAAAAACUUAAACUAUAAGAACUUCAAUUAACAAAUAAUAGAGACAGAAGCAAUUCUAUCAUAAACCUUCAUAAACAAAACUCACCCGCUUCACCUCCGAUAAAACGAAACACACAAGGAUGAUCAGUCUUGACAGACAACACGUAACGUGUGUAAAACGAAAGAAACAAGAAAUCAAAAGAACUAAAAUUUGGGGAAAGAAUCGACAAAUAACAGAGGGAACAAAAAGAAAAAAAAUAUAUAAAAAAGGAAAUGGGAAAAGAACGUCAAACUAAAAAAAAAACUCCUAUUUCAAAUUUUAAAAGUACUUCUUUAAAAAUUAAAAAGCAAAACCAAAAUAAAUCAAUUCCUCAAAACACAUAUGAUGACUUGAACCCGAAACCCAAAGGUAAACUAACACAUUCACCACCACCAAACCAGUAGGCUCAUUCUAACAUUAAAACGCGAAAAUCCACUCAAGUGCUUGACCUAUUCAAUGAC
rnacentral:lncRNA from 1 species